GCCGAAAUAGUUCGGUUUGGAGAGCGUUAGACUGAAGAUCUAAAGGUCCCUGGUUCAAUCUUUUAUUACCUCGACGUUUCGACA